rnacentral:tRNA from 1 species
GAAGCUCAGUGGUUAAAAAGCGUAGCGUGUCGAAGACGUAGCUGACUCAUAAUCAGUUGGUCCCUGGUUCGAGCCCAGGUGGGGCCA